UACAGAGGGUGCGAGCGUUAAUCGGAAUUACUGGGCGUAAAGGGCGCGUAGGCGGUUUGAUGGGUGUGAUGUGAAAGCCCUGGGCUUAACCUAGGAAGCGCAUCGCAAACUAUGGAACUGGAGUAGAUGAGAGGGUGGCGGAAUUGACGGUGUAGCGGUGAAAUGCAUAGAUAUCGUCAAGAACACCGAUAGCGAAGGCAGCUUACUGGGCUGUAACUGACGCUGAUGCACGAAAGUGUGGGGAUCAAACAGG
rnacentral:rRNA from 1 species